rnacentral:tRNA from 1 species
UGGCAAAGUGGUUAAGUGUUUGGCUGCUAACCGAAAAGCUGGUGGUUCAAACCCACC